GACGAACGCUGGCGGCGUGCCUAAUACAUGCAAGUAGAACGCUGAAGAGAGGAGCUUGCUCUUCUUGGAUGAGUUGCGAACGGGUGAGUAACGCGUAGGUAACCUGCCUGGUAGCGGGGGAUAACUAUUGGAAACGAUAGCUAAUACCGCAUAAAAUUGAUUAUUGCAUGAUACUUAAUUGAAAGAUGCAACUGCAUCACUACCAGCUGGACCUGCGUUGUAUUAGCUAGUUGGUGAGGUAACGGCUCACCAAGGCGACGAUACAUGGCCGACCUGAGAGGGUGAUCGGCCACACUGGGACUGAGACACGGCCCAGACUCCUACGGGAGGCAGCAGUAGGGAAUCUUCGGCAAUGGGGGGAACCCUGACCGAGCAACGCCGCGUGAGUGAAGAAGGUUUUCGGAUCGUAAAGCUCGGUUGUAAGAGAAGAACGGGUGUGAGAGUGGAAAGUUCACACUGUGACGGUAUCUUACCAGAAAGGGACGGCUAACUACGUG
rnacentral:rRNA from 1 species